rnacentral:rRNA from 1 species
GCAGUGAGGAAUAUUGGUCAAUGGCCGCAGGGCUGAACCAGCCAAGUCGCGUGAGGGAUGACGGUCCUAUGGAUUGUAAACCUCUUUUGUCAGGGAGCAAAGGGCGCCACGUGUGGCGCUUUGCGAGUACCUGAAGAAAAAGCAUCGGCUAACUCCGUGCCAGCAGCCGCGGUAAUACGGAGGAUGCGAGCGUUAUCCGGAUUUAUUGGGUUUAAAGGGUGCGCAGGCGGAAUGUCAAGUCAGCGGUAAAAUUUCGGGGCUCAACCCCGUCGUGCCGUUGAAACUGGCGUUCUUGAGUGAGCGAGAAGUAUGCGGAAUGCGUGGUGUAGCGGUGAAAUGCAUAGAUAUCACGCAGAACUCCGAUUGCGAAGGCAGCAUACCGGCGCUCAACUGACGCUCAUGCACGAAAGCGUGGGUAUCGAACAGGAUUAGAUACCCUGGUAGUCCACGCAGUAAACGAUGAAUACUAACUGUCCGGGCAGAAUGAUGCCUGG